rnacentral:rRNA from 1 species
CCUACGGGUGGCAGCAGUGGGGAAUAUUGCACAACGUGGGAAACCCUGAUGCAGCGACGCCGCGUGAGUGAAGAAGUAUUUCGGUACGUAAAGCUCUAUCAGCAGGGAAGAAAAUGACGGUACCUGACUAAGAAGCCCCGGCUAACUACGUGCCAGCAGCCGCGGUAAUACGUAGGGGGCAAGCGUUAUCCGGAUUUACUGGGUGUAAAGGGAGCGUAGACGGCAGCGCAAGUCUGGAGUGAAAUCCCAUGGCUUAACCAUGGAACUGCUUUGGAAACUGUGCAGCUAGAGUGCAGGAGAGGUAAGCGGAAUUCCUAGUGUAGCGGGGAAAUGCGUAGAUAUUAGGAGGAACACCAGUGGCGAAGGCGGCUUACUGGACUGUAACUGACGUUGAGGCUCGAAAGCGUGGGGAGCAAACAGGAUUAGAUACCCUGGUAGUC